UACGUAGGGGGCGAGCGUUGUCCGGAGUUACUGGGCGUAAAGGGCAUGCAGGCGGUCGGACGCGUUUUGUGUGACAGCGGGUGGCUCAACUACGCGAGCAUACGAAAGACGGUUUGACUUGAGGGCUCGAGAGGGACACGGAAUUCCGGGUGGAGUGGUGAAAUGCGUAGAGAUCCAGAGGAACACCGAAGGCGAAGGCAGUGUCCUGGCGAGUGACUGACGCUGAGGUGCGAAAGCCAGGGGAGCGAACAGG
rnacentral:rRNA from 1 species